rnacentral:rRNA from 1 species
GCACCGGCUAACUCCGUGCCAGCAGCCGCGGUAAUACGGAGGGUGCGAGCGUUAAUCGGAAUUACUGGGCGUAAAGCGCAUGCAGGUGGUUUGUUAAGUCAGAUGUGAAAGACCCGGGGCGUCAACCUCGGAAUUGCAUUUGAAACUGGCAAACUAGAGUACUGUAGAGGGGGUAGAAUUUCAGGUGUAGCGGUGAAAUGCGUAGAGAUCUGAAGGAAUACCGGUGGCGAAGGCGGCCCCCUGGACAGAUACUGACACUCAGAUGCGAAAGCGUGGGGAGCAAACAGGAUUAGAUACCCUCGGUAG